CAUGCGAGGUACUUGUAGCAAUACAAACCGUACUGCUCAGUAACACGUAGUUAACCUAACCUUAGGAUGGGGAUAAUCCUGGGAAACUGGGCGUAAUACCCAAUAGGCGAUAAAGGCUGGAAAGCAUCUUCGCUUAAAGCAGCAAUGUGCCUAAGGAUGGGACUGUGGCGGAUUAGUUUGUUGUUGAGAUAAUUGCUCAACAAGACUAUAAUCUGUACGGGUCGUGAGAGCGAUAGCCCGGAGAUGGCUUCUGAGACAUGAAGCCAGGCCCUACGGGGCGCAGCAGGCGCGAAAACUUCGCAAUGCCCGGAAGGGCGACGAGGGAAAUCUGAGUGAUAUCGCACUGCGAUAUCUUUUGUACACUGUAAAUAGGUGUAUGAAUAAGGGGUGGGUAAGACGGUUGCCAGCCGCCGCGGUAAUAACCGCGCCCCGAGUGGUAGUCACGUUUAUUGGGCCUAAAGCGUCCGUAGCUGGUUUGAUAAGUCUUUGGUGAAAUCCAUCAGUAAACUGAUGGGAUGGCUGGAGAUACUACCAAACUCGAGACCGGGAGAGGCUAGGGGUAUUCGGCAGGUAAGAGUAAAAUCUUUUAAUCUGCGGAGGACCACCUGUGGCGAAGGCGCCUAGCUGGAACGGGUCUGACAGUGAGGGACGAAAGCGUGGGGAGCGACCGGGAUUAGAUACCCCGUUAGUCCACGCCGUAAACGAUGCCCACUUGGUGUCGCACAAUCUUCGUGAUUCUGCGGUGCCGUAGCGAAGGUGUUAAGUGGGCCGCCUGGGGAGUAUGGUCGCAAGAUUGAAACUUAAGGGAAUUGGCGGGGGGAGCACUACCAGGGGUGGAGGCUGCGGUUUAAUUGCAUUCAACGCCGGAA
rnacentral:rRNA from 1 species